rnacentral:lncRNA from 1 species
CUUUAAUGUAGAACCUGCUAUCAAAAAUGUCAAAUAUAUAUCCACAGGUAAAGCAUCCAUGAAGGCAGACUCGAGUAAAGCAACUAGUUUAUGGACCAAAGAUUCGUAUUAGGUCAGUAAUUUCCACCAAUCAGAAUGUCGGAUUCGUCAACGUAAGUAAAUGAGGGUGCCGUUCAGCCAAUGCAAACCCAGGGUUUGUUUUGGUAGGCGGGGCUAGCAGUAGGUCGUCCUUCCUAAAGACUUGUGACGGAUUUCUGAUUAAGCCGCCAUGUCAAACCUGGCGAAGCUGUAGAUAUACUGAAUUUUUUUUGUAAAUUAAUUUUUUCAAGGUUAUAAGAAGUAUAUCAAUGGCUUUAUAAAUCUACUGCGACGGCUUUUAAAAUGGACUCAGACACAAAAGAAAAAUCCACAGAAAUUCCAAAAUCUUCCAAAGUUGAAUCAGAGAACCCUGUGAUAGAAACCAAAUCCAGCAGGGGUCGUGGGGUCAGAGGUGGAGGUAGAGGAUGGGGCGCGCUUCGAGGAGGUGGUCAUGGUGGUCGUGGAGUGAUUAAAAGCUUUGGUCCACCUGGACAUGUGAGGGGUCGAGGGACGAAUGGAGCCAUGAAUGGAUUUUUACCAAUAAGGUCCUUAUUUAUGGAAGUAUGAACAACUGUUUCUGAAAAGUUAUCAGAAAGUUUAGAUAAGUCUCAUUUAUUCACAGAGGAACAGGAAGGAUGCAGCCAUACCCAGACUUUGGAGGUCACAGAGGGCGAGGAGGUCCAUGGGGGAUGGGCCCUCCUCCUCCUCCUCCUCCCUUACACUUCAGAGGCCCCUUUCCUCCUCCGCCCAGACAUAGGCCACCUACACCCCCUCCUCUCAGGCACCCUGGUUUUAUGAGGCGCCCCCCUCACCCCCUGGGCCUUGGCAUGCCUCCCUCUGGACCUCCACGACUCUUCCACCCCUUCGGCCCCAGAGGCUACCACAAUGGACCGGUUUCUCCUCCGUCUCACCCUCUCCUCCCUGGCAGAGGCCAGAGGUGGCCAGGCCGACGCUUUUAACACAACUCUCCCUAAACAACCAUUAACAAGGACAGCACACGCUAAACAAAUAUCAGACCUCAAAAGCACGUCGUAGAACCAGAACGCUCGUGAACUGUGUGUGAUGCAAAGAGUCUGCAGAACACUUGAGUUCAUUUGAAACAUCUGUGACCAACUGUUUGGGUUUAUAGUCUCUACUCCAUUGACAACAAAGGACUCAUAAAAUGACCUACAACCUAAUAAUGUAAAGAUCAAUUAAUGAAAUGCAUUAUUUAAUACCCUACAUGUGCAGCUAGAAUCAAUUCCUGUUUGUCAUUAGUUAUCUAUUGUGCAUUUAUAUAUAUAAAAAAUAAUUAGUAAGAUUUAGUAAUGAAGCAUACAGUAUAUUAUCUAUCUAAAUGUAUUUUCUUAUCAAAAGUCAAUUCUAUUUGUAUUUGCCUAGGUGAAGGAUAAGAAAGUCCAUAUCUGCUGUGUUUAGUUAUUGAAGUGUUACUUUUAUAUUUACUGUGAUUUGGGG